AGAACGAACGCUGGCGGCAUGCCUAACACAUGCAAGUCGAACGAGACCUUCGGGUCUAGUGGCGCACGGGUGCGUAACGCGUGGGAAUCUGCCCUUGGGUCCGGAAUAACAGUGAGAAAUUACUGCUAAUACCGGAUGAUGACGUAAGUCCAAAGAUUUAUCGCCCAGGGAUAAGCCCGCGUAAGAUUAGGUAGUUGGUGGGGUAAAGGCCUACCAAGCCGACGAUCUUUAGCUGGUCUGAGAGGAUGAUCAGCCACACUGGGACUGAGACACGGCCCAGACUCCUACGGGAGGCAGCAGUGGGGAAUAUUGGACAAUGGGCGAAAGCCUGAUCCAGCAAUGCCGCGUGAGUGAUGAAGGCCCUAGGGUUGUAAAGCUCUUUUACCCGGGAUGAUAAUGACAGUACCGGGAGAAUAAGCCCGGCUAACUCCGCGCCAGCAGCCGC
rnacentral:rRNA from 1 species